CCCCCGCUCUUCAACCUCUCGGCGCCGCCAAAAAAAGUUUGGAGCGAUCUAUCACUUGGAUCUCAGGAUCUUGUCAGAUGGCAAUCGGCGGCGGGAGGGGGCCGGGAGCGGGGCGAGGACACCUCUUCCUCUCCAGCACAAACAACCUGGCCGGAGCCAACCAGGCGCAAACGCCCAGAUGCUUGGGAGGAGCGGGAGUAGUUUUAUUCCGCCAUCAGCUGCACCGCAACCACCACCGCCACCACUGCUAAUUAUUAGUAUUAAUCACGCCUUCAUUCAUUAAUAAGCCACCAGCCUGCGGAUCAGAUCUGGGCUUGGGAGCCCCCACCCUGUCGGGGGGGGGUAUAGAUAACACAGGACACCUCCCCGCUCCGGCUGUUGCAGAGUUUGAGGGGAGCACAUGACACUUUUUGCACCAGCUUUUCUGUCACAUCCAAGCCAGCCUGUCACCCUUGCAGCGCUGCCGUGGCUUAUUCCCCCACCCACUCGCGACCAUCAGUGCCUGGAAAGGCAGAGAGGUGGACGGGGGCUGUGUGUUGCAUUAUUGUGCAUGCCUGGAAUUAAGUGACAAACACACACACACACACACACACACACACACACACACACCCUCCACCCCCAGCUCGACUGCAGCUAUCAGCACUUGGAUAGGAAAAAAAAAAAAGCCCUUUGGAAAAGACUAAUGCCUGGUCUUCUAAUCUGUUUUAAUUACAGGCUUUGCCCAUCCAAGAGGGAACACGUUGAAAUGGGGAAGUCCUUUAGGGGCUGGCUGUGUUCGAGUAACUUUAAAUCAGGGGCAGCAAUGUCGGAGGCCUUUGUGCGAUGGAGUCACUAUUCUCGGACCGGCCUGGCGAGAGAAGUGGGAAGCCCCCGGGGGCCGGGGCCGGGAGCAGCGCGGCCGUGGCGGCGGGCGCGGUGCAGGCGGCGGGUCCGGGCUCCGGGCGGGGCCGCUGCGGCUGGUGCACGGGCCGGCGUGCCCCGCGCCCGCCGCCCAGGCAGACCCGGGCGAGGCUCCGCUUCACACGCUACUGUGCGGCCCGACGGGUCGGUCUGCGCUGCCCCCGCCUGGCGGCCGCGGGAACUGCGGCACCGCUCGCUGCCCGGCAGGCGCCGGAAAGCAGGAGCAGGGGGCUAGCUCGGGUCCUGCAAGGCACAGGGGAAGGGAGCUGCAGGGGGCAUAGCCCUGCUGCUGCCCCCGCUAAGGGCCCCCCCGAGCUCACCUGCUGCUCCUUUGUGGUCACUGCCGGCAGGGAUGAGCCAGGCCAGAAAGCUCCUGAGCCCUUUCCCAGCACCUCCCCAGGACUGCUGUUCCUCUCUGCCCAGCCUGGCAUCCCUCCACAUGGCACUGCCGCAGUCCUGCCCGCCGCCCUUCUCUGCACGGCUGAGACCAAAGAGGGAAGCCAAGUGACCAGCAAAGAAUAACAAUGGCCCACAGAUCUCCAGCUUCUUAGCCACCAGUGCCAUAGUGUGGGGGGCGAGUGGGGCAACCAUCCCAGGUGCCAAAGUGAAGGGGCGCCAACAGGCACUGCCGGGCAGGGCACAGGACAGAGCAGCGAGCAGUAUGUUUGGGGGUGCAUGGGAACAGGGGGAGGGUGGCUCCUGCUAUUGUGUAUGCCCCCCAGAUCUGUGCACAGGGCAAGGGCGGGCUGCCACUCCAGGCUUUGCUACGGUACUGUUAGCUGCAGACAGCCCGAGAGACCUCACCGCAUGGGAAGGCUCUGAAGUCCACCCAGCAGGACUGACCAUAGCUCCCUGCACACCACAGAGCUGGCCCACCACCAGAAACUAACUUCUGCUGAGCUCAGUCAGGUCUGGAUCACGCCCAAUUCCAGCCUCAGCACUGGGAGUUCUGCAGUGUCGGGGAGCACAGGACACUUGGGGGACACUUUAAGCUAAGCUAAGAAGGAAACAGACAAGGAACUUCCUUCAUCGCCAUCAGGACAGCUGCAAAGGCAAUGGACAGAAACUUGUCUUUACAAUGCAUAUGUUUGCGGGUAAAAAUGACGCACCUGGCAGCACGAGGGAACCCAGAAAGACUUGAAGCCUAUCUUGACAGGUGGUAUCUGAAGGAAUUUAGAUCCCAGAUGCUGCUCGUAAGCAACAAGGGAAAUUCACUGAAAAUGUUGUAAAGAAACAUAAUUCGGCAGACCUGCAGAUGUGUGGCCCAGUGAGAGGAAGAGUGAGAGAUCAUGCAAUCCUGAUUCUGUUUAUGCCAAUGGGAGGUUUGUCACUGACUUGAAAGGGAGCAGGAUGCCACCCUCAGUGAGGAGAGUCUUUGACAUCUGCCCUCUACAGAUAUGGUAGAAAGCCCCAAUACCUCUGUCCCCUUCCCCAGAGCCAGGAAGGGUAUCCCAUCCACCUCCAAGAGCCUAAACAGAAUCAAGGUGAUCAGGAAAAAGCCCUUUUACCACCCCAGAAACAAGUACUACAACAGCAACAAAAGUAAGGCACAGCUAAUACCGUCACACAGGAGUCCUUCGCAAAACUUCCAGCCUUUCUCCUUUAGCAAAAACCACCUGCACACUGCUGAGUGCUCUGUUUUUAUGUGCUGGAGAAGAUUCCCAGACUGCUCUGCUCUUAAAGGGCCAGUGCAAUGGAAACAGAAGAUUUUGGAGUAUCAACAUGAAGGCAAGUAGGAAGGAAGAAACAUGCAGCACCUUCAAGAAAAAACAAGCAAAUGUUCUGAAUGGAGCCAAAACAUUACACAAAUGGGAGUUAGUGAUACAGCAGUUGAAAGGAACAGAGUCUCGGUGGGGAAGUCAACACUAUGCCGGCUUCAUACUGAAGGGGAAAAUGGAAUAUAUCCUCACAUGGAAAUAAACCUGGAGGUGAGAAAGAAGGUGAAAGAAAAAUCUGAAAUAAAAAUAAUUUGAGAUAAACACCAAACAAAAGUAUGUUUCAGAAGUUAAAAAAUAAAGUAUGACCAACAUGCUGGAUGAAGCCUUCAGCUUCUCCUGAGUCAGGGAAGUCAUGAGAGAAGUUCUCCCCCUUUUGAAGCCAAGGGUUGUUUUGUCAUCGAUAUCAGCAAAGCUAGUAUUUUAUCCCAGGGAUGCUUUGCCUGACUAACAGCAAGGCCAGGUCCUAUGCUUUAAAAGAAAAGCAAGAGAAAAAGGCAAACAAUCAGUAAAGAAAUAGUCACUUCGUUCAUCAGAAGAAAGGGAAGAAACGUAACCUGUGCAGUAGCAUCACUGGAACAGCAGCAGAGGCAUGACCCCUCUGGUCACAUCUUCCGCUGAAGUCAGUGGAGUUUGAACAUUUGCUGAGCUCUGUCUAGACUUCCCUCCCCCAGGGUGCAGAAUCCAUGGUCAAACCGUGGGAUCUGUGCCUCUGGCCCUAUCCUAGGCAUUACAAGUGGGAAGCCUAGCAAAUGCUGAGGAGGAGAUCCCCAGCACUAGGGCUAUAAGUAAUCUUCCAUAUUCUUCAGGUGGGAUGUGGCCCAUCGGAGAAGAGGAACAGCAGCUCUAGAUAACCCCACCAUUUGUAAAGACAGUAUCUUUUGGGCAUAAUACCCCCAGUGAGGCCCUGCAGAAGAAAGGCUAAGGACUGACUCAGUCUGGGCUGUAAGAAACCUCCUCCAGGUGAUUCUGACCCUGAAAACUUUGCCACUAGCACUGCUCGCUUCUAAUGGAUCAGUAAGACACUAGCUUUGAUGCAGUUUCCUUUUGCUACAGCCACUCCCUAAAACAACCUUGUACAAAAAUGUGCAGGUUUGGGAACUGAUUCCUUUGAUUACUGAGCUUUUCAGGUAAGAUAGUAGUAUAAUGAAAUGCAAGAGAUUAUUAGGCAAAGAAGGGAGUCUUCAAGCCAAAAACUCUGGGCCCAAUUCUCUUGUCAAGAACAAAAAAUCUUCAAUGGGGGCAGGAUGGGACCCCUGCAGUCAAGACCGCUCUCAGUGCGCCGCUGGCAAUGCUCCAUUUGCAUUCAUCUGGACUAUCAUUACAAGACAAACAGAUUUAUUCUGCUUUUCUUGCUAAGGAGCCAUAAUGUCAAACCACCACAUUUCAGCAUUUAUAAAACCAGCAAACCUAUUUUUUUCUUUAAAAUGUAAGGAACAUGUUCAUAUUUCACUCCUAUUUCACUCCAGUACAAAAGCACGGGGUCAAAAUUAAUGAGUAAAGUAUUUGUGUGACGUUU